AGAAUGGGCACUCGGUAAAGCGCAUACCUUCGCAUAUCACAAGAUUGGGCAUUGAAUUAUGAACAUUUUGGCAUUAGUUGCAUGCCAAUUGGACAAAAAUGUAUCGUGCUAUGGUAAAAAAAAAGAUAUUGACCUUUCCAUGACCUUGACCUUGACCUUUGACCCGAUUGAUCCCAAAAUCUAAUCAAAUCUGUCCCGGGAUAAUAACCAAUUAUCCCACCAAAUUGCAUGCGAUUCAAGAAGAUUUUGACCUGUUCAUGACCUUUGACCUGGAACUUUGACCCGAUCGAUCCCAAAAUAUAAUCAACUGGUCCCCGGAUAAUAACCAAUCAUCCCACCAAAUGUCAUGCGAUUCGGUUCAAUACUUUUUGAGUUUUGCGAAUAACACGCAUACAAAUAAAUAAAUAAAUAAAUACACGGCGAUCAAAACAUAACCUUCCGCAUUUUCAAUGCGAAGGUAAUUAUCACAAAAACACUGAAGGUGCGUUCACACCAAAAGCAAAACUAUUUUUCGCGUCGCCCAAAACGCGUGAGUUUACUCGCUCGACCGUUCGCCGUGUUCUCGCCAUGAGCGUCCUGACGCUCCGCGAGGGGCGGGGCUUAUCUCCGUGUCUCGUCUCCGUAAAGACCGUUAUCAUCUCCUUUAUCCACCAGAAUAACUAACCGCUAGUUCUGCUUUAUAUUUGUCGAGGACGUCCCACACACUAACGCCCUCGUGUUUGGGUUGAUGACAUCACCCGUAGGCUCACUCAGCUCGGUCACUUUCACCGAUGAAGUCACUGUUACGUCUGGAAGACUUCCGCUUCCAGCGCUACGAGAGCGGAACUCGAGAGCCGAUUGGCCCGAGUUGCGAGAUGACCGCCUCAAAGUUGAAAUAUUUCAACUCGGGGCGAAAAUUGCGCCGCUGUCAACGCGUCGGCCACAUCGCGUCGCCCCAAACGCAUCGCCCGGGAAAAUAUCGCGUCUAUCGCAUCCACAAGUGUCUGUACGUUGACUUUUCAUGGGAUUCGGUCGCGCGAAAAAAUAGUUUCGCUUUUGGUGUGAACGCACCUUUAGACUUAGAAAACAACAUUUACAUUAAAAGUAAAAUAAUAAUACCUAAAUACCUUAAAUACCUAAAAUAAUAACCUAAUCUACUAUAAUUUCCUUUCUGAUUAUUGCUGCCUUAAGUUUCCUUUUGAAAUCACAUGUAUUUCUUGUUAGAGUCACAUAUGAGGGGAGCACCUCCCAGGAUGCAGCGGCUCUGGACAUUACUGAUUUCUGAAGUGCAUUGGUUCUGGGUAGAGGAAACGUGAAAGUGAAGUGUCAGGAAAGUGAAGCAAUUUCACUUUGAGUGUCAUCACAGGAUAUUUAGAAAAGAAGUAAAAUGUUCGUAACUUACUGGAUUUACAGAAAGAGUUUGAUUUUUUGGGCUGUGUGCAUUCAUUCUCACUGUGAAUUGGAAAAUAAGAUUGAUGUCGCGCUAAUAACGAGCUAAAACCAGUGAGCUUAGCAUCAUUAGCUUAGCAGGAUUUUUACACGUUUGUAUGGAUUACACACAUUACAUAUAACAUGAGUUUUACAGUGUAGGUUUUGUGACCUUUUUCCCGACUUUAAUGGUUAAGCUGCUCUUCCGCAUCUUAUAGAAGUUGAUUUUUGGGACAUACACGCAUUUUCUUUUUUUACGCAGUGUGUGAGAUGGAAAUAUCGAUCUUACCGUCAAGUCUGUAUGUUACAUAAGAAGCUAAACGAAGACACCAUCAGCUUUAAGGACAUGACCUUGUGUAAAAAAUGUUGAUUAAACAAUCAAGUUUG